rnacentral:rRNA from 1 species
GACAGAGGCCUCAAGCGUUAGGCGGAAUCACUGGGCUUAAAGCGUGUGUAGGCGGAUCGUUAAGUACCUUGUGAAAUCCCCCGGCUCAACCGGGGAACGGCUGGGUAUACUGGCGGUCUUGAGCCACCUAGGGGCCUGCGGAACAAGCGGUGGAGCGGUGAAAUGCGUAGAUAUCGCCUGGAACGCCAAUGGUGAAAACAGCAGGCUGGGGGUGUGCUGACGCUGAGACGCGAAAGCCAGGGGAGCAAACGGG